rnacentral:rRNA from 1 species
GACGAACGCUGGCGGCGCGCCUAACACAUGCGAGUCGAACGAGCGAGAGAGAGCUUGCUUUCUCGAGCGAGUGGCGAACGGGUGAGUAACGCGUGAGGAACCUGCCUCAAAGAGGGGGACAACAGUUGGAAACGACUGCUCAUACCGCAUAAGCCCACGGCUCGGCAUCGAGCAGGGGGAAAAGGAGCAAUCCGCUUUGAGAUGGCCUCGCGUCCGAUUAGCUAGUUGGUGAGGUAACGGCCCACCAAGGCGACGAUCGGUAGCCGGACUGAGAGGUUGAACGGCCACAUUGGGACUGAGACACGGCCCAGACUCCUACGGGAGGCAGCAGUGGGGAAUAUUGCACAAUGGGGGAAACCCUGAUGCAGCGACGCCGCGUGGAGGAAGAAGGUCUUCGGAUUGUAAACUCCUGUUGUUGGGGAAGAUAAUGACGGUACCCAACAAGGAAGUGACGGCUAACUACGUG